rnacentral:rRNA from 1 species
CACGUAGGCGGCUUUGUAAGUUAGAGGUGAAAGCCCGGGGCUCAACCCCGGAAUUGCCUUUAAGACUGCAUCGCUUGAAUCCAGGAGAGGUGAGUGGAAUUCCGAGUGUAGAGGUGAAAUUCGUAGAUAUUCGGAAGAACACCAGUGGCGAAGGCGGCUCACUGGACUGGUAUUGACGCUGAGGUGCGAAAGCGUGGGGAGCAAACA